CGCUAGUGACAGUUUUCCCUUUUCACUACGGCACUACAUGAUGCACAAUUGUGCAUAUCUCUUUCCUCCAGGAAAGGUUAGCAUGAUUGGGCUUUGCUAGCCUGUUCCGGGGAUAAGGAUUCAGGAAUUCUGGGUCAACACAAAGCCUGUGAAUGCUUCGACACUGGGACAGGGCAGCAUGGUCUUCUCCGGAGCAUUUCCAUGUUCUGCCUACCACCAUGGAUCUAGAGUUUGUUAUAAGAAGAAAUACAUUGUUAAUUCCAACUCUGACGACAGGUCUUCGUGAUGGGAUCUCGCAUUCAAUGAAGUCUGCUGGCGUACGAAUUUCUGCAAGUGGUACAUAUAUAAAUGAGGAGCAAUGGAUGGAUUCGACAAGGAGCUGGGAAGGAACAAUGAAGGCUGAGCGUAUCUUCACUUGUCCUUGCCUUCACCGGGCGCUGUCUCACGUGCUUGUAACGUGUAGUUUUACUCCACGCAGAUCCAUACGGAUACUCGGAUCUGGAUCCUAGUCACAGCAUACGAAUACGCAGAUCCACGAGUAGUAGGAGUAGCAAAUUUGUCAAAGCGUCUCACUGCAGCAUCUGGAUUCUGGCAUCCAAGGUUCCCAUAGAUCUGGACCGUCCAUACGCAGUUCCCUCAUGUGUUCGUUUGUUUAUUUAAAUAUGGUAUAGCUCCUCUACAUGUGAUUUUUUUUUUUGAGA